GCGCUAAUGCGCGAAAGCGUGACGCAGCGACGCCGCGUGGGGAUGAAGGCCCUCGGGUUGUAAACCCCUUUCGGCAGGGACGAAGCGAAAGUGACGGUACCUGCAGAAGAAGUCCCGGCUAACUACGUGCCAGCAGCCGCGGUAACACGUAGGGGACGAGCGUUGUCCGGAUUCAUUGGGCGUAAAGCGCGCGUAGGCGGCUCGGAAAGUCGGUCGUGAAAGGCUGGGGGCUCAACCCCAGGACUGCGUCCGAUACUUCCGGGCUGGAGGUAGGUAGGGGAGAUCGGAAUUCCUGGUGUAGCGGUGAAAUGCGCAGAUAUCAGGAGGAACACCGGUGGCGAAGGCGGAUCUCUGGGCCUUACCUGACGCUGAGGCGCGAAAGCUAGGGGAGCGAACAGGAUUAGAUACCCUGGUAGUCCUAGCCGUAGACGUUGGGUGCUAGGUGUGGGCGGACAUCGACCCCGUCCGUGCCGAAGCUAACGCAUUAAGCACCCCGCCUGGGGAGUACGGCCGCAAGGCUA
rnacentral:rRNA from 1 species